rnacentral:rRNA from 1 species
CAACGCCGCGUGAGCGAUGAAGGCCUUCGGGUCGUAAAGCUCUGUUGUUAGGGAAGAACAAGUAUCGGAGUAACUGCCGGUACCUUGACGGUACCUAACCAGAAAGUCACGGCUAACUACGUGCCAGCAGCCGCGGUAAUACGUAGGGUGCAAGCGUUAAUCGGAAUUACUGGGCGUAAAGCGUGCGUAGGUGGUUCGUUAAGUCAGAUGUGAAAGCCCCGGGCUCAACCUGGGAACUGCAUUUGAAACUGGCGGACUAGAGUUGAGUAGAGGGGAGUGGAAUUUCAGGUGUAGCGGUGAAAUGCGUAGAUAUCUGAAGGAACACCAGUGGCGAAGGCGACUCCCUGGACUCAAACUGACGCUGAGGUACGAAAGCGUGGGUAGCAAACAGGAUUAGAUACCCUGGUAGUCCACGCUGUAAACGAUGUCAACUAGCCGUUGGUCCUCUUAACAGGUUUAGUGGCGCAGCUAACGCAUUAAGUUGACCGCCUGGGGAGUACGGCCGCAAGGUUA